rnacentral:rRNA from 1 species
ACAGCAGUCGCCGCGGGAAUACGGAGGGUGCAAGCGUUAUCCGGAUUUAUUGGGUUUAAAGGGUCCGUAGGCGGAUCUGUAAGUCAGUGGUGAAAUCUCACAGCUUAACUGUGAAACUGCCAUUGAUACUGCAGGUCUUGAGUAAAUUUGAAGUGGCUGGAAUAAGUAGUGUAGCGGUGAAAUGCAUAGAUAUUACUUAGAACACAAAUUGCGAAGGCAGGUCACUAAGAUUUAACUGACGCUGAUGGACGAAAGCGUGGGGAGCGAACAGGAUUAGAUACCCCUGUAGUCCCUGUCUCUUAUAC